ACGAACGCUGGCGGCGUGCUUAACACAUGCAAGUCGAACGGAAAGGCCCUGCUUUUGUGGGGUGCUCGAGUGGCGAACGGGUGAGUAACACGUGAGUAACCUGCCCUUGACUUUGGGAUAACUUCAGGAAACUGGGGCUAAUACCGGAUAGGAGCUCCUGCUGCAUGGUGGGGGUUGGAAAGUUUCGGCGGUUGGGGAUGGACUCGCGGCUUAUCAGCUUGCUGGUGGGGUAGUGGCUUACCAAGGCUUUGACGGGUAGCCGGCCUGAGAGGGUGACCGGCCACAUUGGGACUGAGAUACGGCCCAGACUCCUACGGGAGGCAGCAGUGGGGAAUAUUGCACAAUGGGCGGAAGCCUGAUGCAGCAACGCCGCGUGCGGGAUGACGGCCUUCGGGUUGUAAACCGCUUUCGCCUGUGACGAAGCGUGAGUGACGGUAAUGGGUAAAGAAGCACCGGCUAACUACGUG
rnacentral:rRNA from 1 species